rnacentral:rRNA from 1 species
GAUGAACGCUGGCGGCGUGCCUAAUACAUGCAAGUCGAGCGAACAGACGAGGAGCUUGCUCCUCUGACGUUAGCGGCGGACGGGUGAGUAACACGUGGAUAACCUACCUAUAAGACUGGGAUAACUUCGGGAAACCGGAGCUAAUACCGGAUAAUAUAUUGAACCGCAUGGUUCAAUAGUGAAAGACGGUUUUGCUGUCACUUAUAGAUGGAUCCGCGCCGCAUUAGCUAGUUGGUAAGGUAACGGGUUACCAAGGCAACGAUGCGUAGCCGACCUGAGAGGGUGAUCGGCCACACUGGAACUGAGACACGGUCCAGACUCCUACGGGAGGCAGCAGUAGGGAAUCUUCCGCAAUGGGCGAAAGCCUGACGGAGCAACGCCGCGUGAGUGAUGAAGGUCUUCGGAUCGUAAAACUCUGUUAUUAGGGAAGAACAAAUGUGUAAGUAACUAUGCACGUCUUGACGGUACCUAAUCGGAAAGCCACGGCUAACUACGUG